UCUCUGGCUGUUUUGGGACUACAGUUCCCAUCAUCCCUGACCAUGGGUUCUGUUAGCUAGGGGUGAUGGGAGCUGUAGUCCAACAACAGCUAGAGA